rnacentral:rRNA from 1 species
UGGGGAAUAUUGCACAAUGGGCGCAAGCCUGAUGCAGCCAUGCCGCGUGUGUGAAGAAGGCCUUCGGGUUGUAAAGCACUUUCAGCGAGGAGGAAGGGUUCAGUGUUAAUAGCACUGUUCAUUGACGUUACUCGCAGAAGAAGCACCGGCUAACUCCGUGCCAGCAGCCGCGGUAAUACGGAGGGUGCAAGCGUUAAUCGGAAUUACUGGGCGUAAAGCGCACGCAGGCGGUUUGUUAAGUCAGAUGUGAAAUCCCCGCGCUUAACGUGGGAACUGCAUUUGAAACUGGCAAGCUAGAGUCUUGUAGAGGGGGGU